UACGUAGGGUGCAAGCGUUGUCCGGAAUUAUUGGGCGUAAAGAGCUCGUAGGCGGUUUGUUGCGUCGGCUGUGAAAUCCCGAGGCUCAACCUCGGGUCUGCAGUCGAUACGAGCAAACUAGAGUGUUGCAGGGGAGACUGGAAUUCCUGGUGUAGCGGUGAAAUGCGUAGAGAUCGGGAGGAACACCAGAGGCGAAGGCGGCGACCUGGACAGGUACUGACACUCAACUACGAAAGCGUGGGGAGCAAACAGG
rnacentral:rRNA from 1 species